UAGUCCAUGCUGUAAACGAUGAUUACUAAGCGUCGGGGGUCGAACCUCGGCACUCAAGCUAACGCGAUAAGUAAUCCGCCUGGGGAGUACGUACGCAAGUAUGAAACUCAAAGGAAUUGACGGGGACCCGCACAAGUGGUGGAGCAUGUGGUUUAAUUCGACGCAACGCGAAGAACCUUACCAGAUCUUGACAUCCCAAUGACCAACCGGGUAACGCCGGUCUUCCUUCGGGACAUUGGUGAC
rnacentral:rRNA from 1 species